CUUCCUCCUCCUCCUCCUCCUCCUCCUCCUCCUCCUCCUCCUCCUCCCCCUCCUCCCCCCCCGCUGCCGAGGGGGCGGGCGGACAAAGGCUGCGGGCUGCCGCCGGGCCGGGGCGCGAUGGAGCGGCGCGGCGGCCGGGGCUGAGGCAGAGGCGGCUCGGUGGGGCCGGGCCGGGCCGAGCCGGGCUGGGGCACAUGGUGCGCGGCUGGGGCCCGGCGCUGCGCACCCGCGGGCAGGCCGAGGGGCCGCCAUGGACAACUUCUUGGCGGAGGAUGACAAGUUGUUGUAUCUGUCUGCAGAGGAGCCUUGAUUUACAUCACUAUCCCAGUUUUUUAACUCUGUCAGUUGAAAACAAAAUAAACUUAAAGAAUGCUUUUAGUAAAGAAUUAGGCUAGAAGAGUCAGCCCUGGAACAUACCUCCCAAAAUGCUUUCAUUGCUGGAAGAUAUGAAAAUAAUUUUGCUGGAAGAUAUUAAAGUAAUUAUGAAGUUAUACUUUAAAUACGGAGGAGAAGUGGUUUUGGAGACUAUUUAAAAACAUCUCAGGCUGCUGAUUGAUCUGUGCUAACUUCUGGUGUUUGAAAGACCAAUGUUGGAGUCUUAACCUCUUUUGUGUAUUUACAUAGUCAUAUCUUCAGAUAUAAACUAUUAAAAGCUGUAGAAAUCCA